AACACGCGUGAUUGGAGAGGGGGGAGAGAUGUGGAAGAGGACAGGGAGAUCACAUACAGGAAAACUGCAGAAAGCCACAGGCAAAGUACGGUACAGCCUCAGAUAUUUUUAUUUUAAACUUACUUCUAGUUUAUUUCCCCACCACUCCUCUUGGCUUCUGCCUAACUGGGUCGCGUUGGGGAUGUUUGGCAUGGCGCUCUGGCUUUUGUUCCUUUUAAUACCGCGGCCCCCUUCCUCUGCCCGCGGAUUACUAGGUCCCGAAGUCUCCUGCUAACAACCUAGAUCAGCAAGCUCAGCCGACUGUACCACCGCCGGGCUAAAUUUGUUGUUGUUGCUGUUGUUAAGUAGCACUUUCUUUCUUGUGCAGAUGCAGAGCCCUUGUUGUCAAUAUUCAUUUUUUUCUAGUACAGGAUGGGAGCAGCUUAACUCCGAGCAUAGUCCCUCGGUGAGCUGCAGACAGUGGACCACCUCGGAGAGUCUAGGGGUCCUGGGCGCAAUCUGGAAGGAGGAAGUGGGACGAGAGUUAGUGAGAAGAACUCCAAGAUUACAAAUAUCCACUUCAUUUGAUGCUGAGUUACUCGUCACAUAAGAAAAGGUCUGUGUGGACAUUCGAAGAAGCUACGCCUACAAAGAUGGUUUAAAAAAUCUGAGCGUCCCUAUACUCAUCCUUGUCUCGAAUAAAUAAAUACGUAAUGUUGCUUGAAGAAAUUCAUCGGCCUUCUCCAGAUACUUCUCCAGAUACAGGUUUGCUGUAAUGAUCUGCAGAAGAGAACUGCCACCACUUUCUCACAUCCCAAGGUGUUGGCGGAACUGGAGCGAGGCGGAGAGAGGCUGCAGCGCGUAAUUGCAGAGGGGAGGGCGGGGUGCCUCCUGGGAUCCGGAGCGGGGGUAGGGGAGGUAAGAUGCAACCCAGGAAAGGUCUUUCUGGACGUUGGAGUCGCCAGUUGGAGAAUAUUUGGACAAGGUAUGAUGGCCUUAUUCCCCCCCCCCCCCAUCCCGUCUCUAUCCCAAUGCCUUUGGGGAGAAGAGAUACCCUUGUGUAACAAUUAGCUCAGACAAUAAAAAUAAUUGGAAAAUCA